rnacentral:rRNA from 1 species
UACGAAGGGGGCUAGCGUUGUUCGGAAUUACUGGGCGUAAAGCGCACGUAGGCGGACUGUUAAAUCGGGGGUGAAAUCCUGGGGCUCAACCUCAGAAUUGCCUCCGAUACUGGCAGUCUCGAGUGCGGGGAGAGGUGAGUGGAAAUUCCCCAGUGUAGAGGUGAAAUUUCGUAGAUAUUGGGGAAGAACACCAGUGGCGAAGGGCGGCUCACUGGCCCCGUAACUGACGCUGAGGUGCGAAAAGCGUGGGGGAGCAAAACAGGGAUUUAGAAAACCCUAG